rnacentral:rRNA from 1 species
AUUGAACGCUGGCGGCGAUGCCUUACACAUGCAAGUCGAACGGCAGCACGGGAGCAAUCCUGGUGGCGAGUGGCGAACGGGUGAGUAAUAUAUCGGAACGUGCCCAGUCGUGGGGGAUAACGUAGAGAAAUUUACGCUAAUACCGCAUACGAUCUAAGGAUGAAAGCGGGGGAUCGCAAGACCUCGCGCGAUUGGAGCGGCCGAUAUCAGAUUAGGUAGUUGGUGAGGUAAAGGCUCACCAAGCCGACGAUCUGUAGCUGGUCUGAGAGGACGACCAGCCACACUGGGACUGAGACACGGCCCCAGACUCCUACGGGAGGCAGCAGUGGGGAAUUUUGGACAAUGGGCGCAAGCCUGAUCCAGCAAUGCCGCGUGCAGGAUGAAGGCCUUCGGGUUGUUAAACUGCUUUGUACGGAACGAAACGGUGAGCUCUAAUACAGUUUGCUAAUGACGGUACCGUAAGAAUAAGCACCGGCUAACUACGUG